GGAUUGUGGCUCAGUGGCAGAGUGCUUGCCUCAUACAUGUGAGGCACUGGGUUCGAUCUUCAGCACCA
rnacentral:tRNA from 1 species